UAUUUGAAUACUAUCAGAUUAUUACAUGGCAUUUUUCAUAUCGCAUGUAUUAUCAGCCCUAGGUUCAAUAUCAGCCCAAGAGCCGCAUGGCUCGAGGGCUGAUAUUGACCGAGGGCUGAUAAUACAUGCGAUAUGAAAAAUGACAUGUUAUGAUCUUUUUAUCAUAUGCUUCAAUAGUAGAGAAAAAUAACAGAUUCAUAUAUUGAUCCUUCUACGUGGUUCCCGAAAAGAAGUUGAAAGAGUAAAAAGUUCACGGACGUCGGACCCAAAAUUUGAUACAUUCAAUAUGAAAUCUUUCUAUCAUAUGCCUCAACAGAGAAAAAAAAAACACAUUUUAAUAUUGACGAAUCGACUAAAAAUAAUUCAACAAUAUACAUAAUAAACAUUGUUUGGAAAAGUCAACUUUUUUAAAGUAACUUUCUAAAUU
rnacentral:lncRNA from 1 species